UACGUAGGGUGCAAGCGUUAAUCGGAAUUACUGGGCGUAAAGCGUGCGUAGACGGUUACGUAAGUCGGGUGUGAAAGCCCCGGGCUCAACCUGGGAAUUGCAUUCGAGACUGCGUAGCUAGGAUGCGGAAGAGGGAAGCGGAAUUUCCGGUGUAGCGGUGAAAUGCGUAGAUAUCGGAAGGAACACCAGUGGCGAAAGCGGCUUCCUGGUCCAGCAUCGACGUUCAGGCACGAAAGCGUGGGGAGCAAACAGG
rnacentral:rRNA from 1 species